AAUCAAGUCUGGAAGUGUUACAGGAUGGAAGAGUGAGCCUACAGAUGAAAAAACACUGAGAGUGCAUUACCGUAAGGUGUGAGUACAACAGCAAUCCUUUAUAGUUCUGUCACAGCUAGAAGCCUCAAAUAAUUCUGCUUCUCUGUCUAAAGAACAACUUGUCCUUUAUGUUCAGAGUGUUGGGGAAACUGGGUACUUAAAUGGCCCUAAAGAUGUUUUAAUUUUGCUGCUAUUGCAGAGAUGAACAUCAUACAUGGACUCUUUAGGUCUUAUCUACCAAAAAAAAUUUUAUCCAAUAGGAAAGGAUUUUCAUGUACUGGGAACACAAUUAUCAACAAUGCAACAUUCUACAGGUGCUAGUUUAUCAUUCAAGAGCCUUAUACAAUGAAGUUAAUCUGCAAUUUGUAUGUCCUUUCCCAAGCUUCCACCAGAAGUUGAAUCUAUGAGUCAUGUAAGUUCCAUGAUCAACAAUUGAUGUGUUUAACGGUGUUGUUUUUCUUUUCUCAAUAUAGGUUAAUAGUAACAUUGGAUCUGAAAAGAUUCUUGGUUGGGGCAAGACACUGAAUAAAUUGUAUUGAUUGGAUGGAUGACAUGACAUUGCUAUACUUAAUUCGGAUUCCCCAGACGGUAUUUGAUAUUAAAAAAAUUGAAGUGCAUAUCUGGGCUCCCUUCUUUUCUGAAGCCCCGUUUCCCCUUGACUCAUAAUAAGCCCGUAGGGGGUCAUGCCCCUACUGUACGGUAUAUAUAAAAACAACAUAUACCGAGGUUUGGAGGGCUCUGGCCGGAAAGGGGACGUGGGGUGCCGCUUCGUCCGAUGAUGUGUUCACGGAGGGUGACGUGGCUGCCCACAAAUCCGAACUAAAGGUUAAUCGCUCCUGUAAAAAUGUUCCAAAUCUUCAGCUCUUCUUCCGGCUUCUCUUAGCCAAUCACCGGGUAAUCUCCCCGGUGGGUCAACA